rnacentral:rRNA from 1 species
UGGGGAAUAUUGGACAAUGGGGGAAACCCUGAUCCAGCCAUGCCGCGUGAGUGAUGAAGGCCUUCGGGUUGUAAAGCUCUUUUGUACGGGACGAUGAUGACGGUACCGUAAGAAUAAGCCCCGGCUAACUUCGUGCCAGCAGCCGCGGUAAUACGAAGGGGGCUAGCGUUGUUCGGAAUUACUGGGCGUAAAGGGUGCGUAGGUGGCGCCGCAAGUCAGAAGUGAAAGCCCUGGGCUCAACCCGGGAAUUGCUUUUGAGACUGUGGUGCUCGAGUUCGGAAGAGGUGAGUGGAAUUCCCAGUGUAGAGGUAAAAUUCGUAGAUAUUGGGAGGAACACCGGUGGCGAAAGCGGCUCACUGGUCCGAAACUGACACUGAGACACGAAAGCGUGGGGAGCAAACAGGAUUAGAUACCCCCGUAGUCC